UUAAACCUAAAUAAAAAGAUCACAAAACCGCUAGAUAAUUGUAAAACCUUUUAUCCAUUCACUGAGUCAAUUAUUUGUCCAUAUAUAAAUCUAGAGAGAGAGAAUUGUUUUGUUACUAUAAUUGAUUUCCUAUCUUUUCAAACAUUUGAAGAUAUAAAUCGCUAGUUUCCACAGAAAAUUAAAAUAAUGAGGCACCAAGCCAUAUUGACUGUAUAAAAGAUAAAUUAAGGAGAUACAGUGGAAAAUUGUGAUUGAGCCAGUGAAUUUUUUCGCUGUUAGAAAGCAACGAAAAAUACGUCAAAUCAUUGAAACUUCAAUUAGGCAUAAGUGCAUGAAAGCUCGAUAAUUGUUCGAGUUGUUUAGCUUAAAACGAAUAGAUUAAAGUGCGAAAAGAGCGGAUGCGUUUAAUUUUUAGGAUAUUUGGUUUCUUUUAAUGAGCUUUAGUUCAUUCUUACUAUAUCGUUUUGUAAAUAAACAGGUUC